rnacentral:misc_RNA from 1 species
GGUAAAGAUUGCUCCAACCACUUCACCUCGGGGAGGCGGCGCGGGUCUCCGCGCGUGGCCGCCGACGCGAUCUAGUGGUGGUGGUGGUCGCCGGAGGGGCGGUAGAGGCGGUUGUAGGCGGCCUCGCCGACGAGGUAGAUCCCGAAGGCGACGAUGGCGAUGCCGAGCCCCGGCGUGGCGUGGCGCAGCUGGUUCCCCACCAUCGGGUGCCUCCUCCAGUCGUCCCGCCGCCGGAAGAACUCCCCCGUCGCGUUCAACCCCUUCCCCGCCAUCGCCGCCGCCGCUCUCCUCCUCCUCCUCCUCUCUCUGACUCUUCACUCUCACAUUCUACCCCUAUCUUCUCCCUCUCAUUCACUUGCUC